rnacentral:misc_RNA from 1 species
GCCCAUGGAUGCCACAACAAGUGGAACCUCAAGUAUACAAUACCAUAACAUAACUGACCAGCCCAUUACUGCCAUUGUUGCUCCUCCUGUGUCAACAUUUCAACGAAAUCAACGCCAUUGUUUUGGGGACUCCACUCCUGGAGAAUUCCCCUUGGCUGCUAAUCCAUCCAUUGUCCUCCAUGUGCUUACUGAUUGUAAUUUGGAUCCUCAAGAUCUUGCAAAACUGGAGGCAACAUGUUCCUUCUUUAGGCUGCCUGCAAAUUUUGCCCCUGACUAUGAAUUGUCCAUAUCAGAGCUUGCAGCUCUGGAUAUGUGCCAAAAGAGAGCCAUAUUUAAGCCUAUGACUCCAGAAGAACGUCAAGAUUUGAAGCAAAGAUGUGGGGGUUCAUGGAAACUAGUUCUGAGAUUUUUACUGGCCGGAGAAGCAUGUUGCAGGAGGGAG